UACGAAGGGGGCUAGCGUUGUUCGGAAUUACUGGGCGUAAAGCGCGCGCAGGCGGUCUUCCAAGUCAGUGGUGAAAGCCCGGAGCUCAACUCCGGAACUGCCAUUGAAACUGUUAGACUUGAGGACGAGAGAGGUGAGUGGAAUUCCCAGUGUAGAGGUGAAAUUCGUAGAUAUUGGGAAGAACACCGGUGGCGAAGGUGGCUCACUGGCUCGUAUCUGACGCUCAGGCGCGACAGCGUGGGGAUCAAACAGG
rnacentral:rRNA from 1 species